UGAGGAAUAUUGGGCAAUGGGCGGAAGCCUGACCCAGCCAUGCCGCGUGCAGGAAGACGGUCCUAUGGAUUGUAAACUGCUUUUAUACGGGAAGAAACACUCCGACGUGUCGGAACUUGACGGUACCGUAAGAAUAAGGAUCGGCUAACUCCGUGCCAGCAGCCGCGGUAAUACGGAGGAUCCAAGCGUUAUCCGGAAUCAUUGGGUUUAAAGGGUCCGUAGGCGGCCUUAUAAGUCAGUGGUGAAAUCUCCUAGCUCAACUAGGAAACUGCCAUUGAUACUGUAGGGCUUGAAUUUUUGUGAAGUAACUAGAAUAUGUAGUGUAGCGGUGAAAUGCUUAGAUAUUACAUGGAAUACCAAUUGCGAAGGCAGGUUACUAACAAACGAUUGACGCUGAUGGACGAAAGCGUGGGGAGCGAACAGGAUUAGAUACCCUGGUAGUCCACGCCGUAAACGAUGGAUACUAGCUGUUCGGAUUUAUCUGAGUGACUAAGCGAAAGUGAUAAGUAUCCCACCUGGGGAGUACGAACGCAAGUUUG
rnacentral:rRNA from 1 species